CCUACGGGAGGCAGCAGUGAGGAAUAUUGGUCAAUGGGAGAGAUCCUGAACCAGCCAAGCCGCGUGAGGGAAGACGGCUCUAUGGGUUGUAAACCUCUUUUGUCGGAGAACAAAACCCGGGACGUGUCCAGGACUGCGUGUAUCCGAAGAAAAAGCAUCGGCUAACUCCGUGCCAGCAGCCGAGGUAAUACGGAGGAUGCGAGCGUUAUCCGGAUUUGUUGGGUUUAAAGGGUGCGUAGGCGGUCCGUUAAGUCAGCGGUAAAAUUGCGGAGCUCAACCCCGUCGAGCCGUUGAAACUGGCAGACUUGAGUUGGCGAGAGGUACGCGGAAUGCGCGGUGUAGCGGUGAAAUGCAUAGAUAUCGCGCAGAACUCCGAUUGCGAAGGCAGCGUACCGGCGCCAGACUGACGCUGAGGCACGAAAGCGUGGGGAUCGAACAGGAUUAGAUACCCUUGUAGUC
rnacentral:rRNA from 1 species